rnacentral:rRNA from 1 species
CGAGUUCGAUCCUGCUCAGGAUGACGCUGCGGAAUGCUUAAACUUUGCAAGUCGAACGGGAAGUGGUGUUUCCAGUGGCGAACGGGUGAGUAACGCGUAAGAACCUGCCCUUGGGAGGGGAAAAAACAUACUGGAAACGGUUGAUAAUACCCAGUAGGAUGAGGAGCAAAGGAGGAAAUCCGCCCAAGGAGGGGCUCGCGUCGAUUAGAUAGUUGGUGAGGAAAAUGUAACAAGGAGAUGUCAGUAGCUGCGUCGGAGAGGAGAGCAGCCACCACUGGGACUGAGACACGGGCCCGUACUCACGGGAGGCAGCAGUGGGGAAUUUUCGCAAGGGGCGAAAGCCUGACGAGCAAUGGCCGCGUGUAGGUGGAAGGCCUACGGGUCGUCAAUUCUUUUCUCGGAAAGAAAAAUGACGGUAUCUGAGGAAUAUACGGAAUACGCAUGCGGCUAACUCUGUGCCAGCAGCCGCGGUAAGACAGAGGAUGCAAGCGUUACGAAUGAUUGGGCGUAAAAGAGUCUGUUAGGUGCUUUUCAGUCCGCCGUCAAAUCCCAGGGCUAACCUGGACGGCGGUGGAGUGGAGGCUGGAAACUACCAAAAGCUGGCGGUACGUAGGGGCAGAGGGAAUUUCCGGUGGGUGGAGCGGUGAAAUGAAAUGAUGAAUGAAAGUGAAAGCAUUGAGAUCGGAAGAAACACAACACCAAACGGCGACCGAAAAGCACUCGCUGGGGACGACACUGGACACUGAGAGACGAAAGCUAGGGGAGCAAAAUGGGAUUAGAGACACCGUAGUCACUAGCCGUUAAACGAUGGAUAUAGGCGCGUUGCGAUGACCCGUGCAGUGCUGAGCUAACGCGUUAAGGUAUCCCGCCUGGGGAGUACGUUCGCAAGAAUGAAACUCAAAGGAAUUGACGGGGGCCCGCACAAGCGGUGGAGCAUGUGUUAAUCGUGCAAAGCGAAGACAUUUACAGGGCUUGACAUGCCGCGAAUCCUCUUGAAAGAGAGGGGUGCCUUCGGGAACGCGGGACACAGGUGGCCAUGGCCUGUCGUCAGCUCGUGCCGUCGUAAGGUCGGUUGGGUUAAGUCUCGAAACGGAGCGCAACCCUCGGUUUAGUUGCCACUAUGAGUUUGGAACCCUGAACAGACCGCCGGGUUAAGCCGGAGGAUGGAAGAGGAGAGGCAAUUCAUAAUGCCCCUUAUGCCCUGGCGACAACGUGAUACAAUGGGCGGGACAAAGGGUCGCGAUCUCGCGCGGGUGAAUAACUCCAAAAAAACCCGUCCUCAGUUCGGAAUUGCAGGCUGCAACUCGCAGAUGAUGAAGCAGAAUCGCUAGUAAUGCCGGUCAGCCAUACGGCGGUGAUGAUCCGUUCAGGGCCGUGUACACACCGCCCGUUCACACUAUAGGAGAUGGCCAGGUUUGAAGUCAUUACCCUUAACCGUAAGGAGGGGGAUGCCUAAGGCUAGGCUUGCGACUGGAGUGAAGUCGUAACAAGGUAGCCGUACUGGAAGGUGCGGCUG